GAUGAACGCUGGCGGUAUGCUUAACACAUGCAAGUCGAACGGACUCUUCGGAGUUAGUGGCGGACGGGUGAGUAACGCGUGAGAAUCUGGCUUUGGGUUCGGGACAACCACUGGAAACGGUGGCUAAUACCGGAUGUGCCGAGAGGUAAAAGGGAAAUUGCCUGAAGAUGAGCUCGCGUCUGAUUAGCUAGUUGGUGAGGUAAAGGCUCACCAAGGCAGCGAUCAGUAGCUGGUCUGAGAGGAUGACCAGCCACACUGGGACUGAGACACGGCCCAGACUCCUACGGGAGGCAGCAGUGGGGAAUUUUCCGCAAUGGGCGAAAGCCUGACGGAGCAAUACCGCGUGAGGGAAGAAGGCUCUUGGGGUGUAAACCUCUUUUCUUAGGGAAGAACAAAAUGACGGUACCUAAGGAAUCAGCAUCGGCUAACUCCGUG
rnacentral:rRNA from 1 species